rnacentral:rRNA from 1 species
GACGAAGGAUGCAAGCGUUUAUCCGGAUUCAUUGGGUUUAAAGGGUGCGUAGGCGGACUUGUAAGUCAGUGGUGAAAUCUCUUUGCUUAACAAAGAAACUGCCAUUGAUACUGCAGGUCUAGAGUAUAGAUGACGUUGGCGGAAUAUGACAUGUAGUGGUGAAAUACUUAGAUAUGUCAUAGAACACCGAUUGCGAAGGCAGCCAACGAAACUAUAACUGACGCUGAGGCACGAAAGUGCGGGGAUCAAACAGG